AUUGAACGCUGGCGGCAGGCUUAACACAUGCAAGUCGAGCGAGCGGCGGACGGGUGAGUAAUGUCUGGGAAACUGCCUGAUGGAGGGGGAUAACUACUGGAACCGGUAGCUAAUACCGCAUACCAUCAGAUGUGCCCAGAUGGGAUUAGCUAGUAGGUGGGGUAAUGGCUCACAUAGGCGACGAUCCCUAGCUGGUCUGAGAGGAUGACCGGCCACACUGGAACUGAGACACGGUCCAGACUCCGACGGGAGGCAGCAGGAGGGAAUAUUGCGCAAUGGGCGAAAGCCUGACGCAGCCAUGCCGCGUGUGUGAAGAAGGCCUUCGGGUUGUAAAGCACUGUCAGCGAGGAAGCGUUACUCGCAGAAGAAGCACCGGCUAACUCCGUGCCAGCAGCCGCGGUAAUAC
rnacentral:rRNA from 1 species